UAUAACAGUAGAUUAUUAUUUCACAGUGUAUUUUCACCAGGUAAAGAAAGCUUUUUAUGGUUCACUGACUGAGGACAAUCAACCCCUUCACAAUCUAGAACCUGAAGAUUGGAUCUUCUGAGAACAUCAGAGAAAGACUGCCCUUGCCAUCCACACUGCAGUAAACAUCAGAACCAUGAACUUUGGCUUCAUGAUCUCACAACUGAGAAGGAUCCCUCCACAUUCUUGGAAAUAUACACCCAUUGGAACCCGUAAGGUGUCAAACUUUCUCAGUCAGAAGUUGACAUAAGGAAGUCACCAGCUUCGGUCUCCUUUAAAUCUCCAGGCCUAACUUUCUUUUGAAUCUCUGCUCUUCAACCACAAUGACUUAUGUACCCCAAGACCCCUCUACCUCCUGGCUGCCUAUGAUCCUCCUGCACCUAGCACUCAGCAAAGGGUCUGACAUUUAGAUAGCACUCAAUCAAUAUGAAGAAUUUAAAGUGUAGUGACAAGGUGGUGCCCACACUGGAUGGUCUGUAUGCUGUGGUCUCAUCGGGGACCUUUCUCUGCACUGCAUUUUUCCUGAGAAAUCCCCGAGUUCAAUAAAUACCUGUGUAUGUCAGAGCUA